rnacentral:rRNA from 1 species
GUGGGGAUUAGUGGCGAACGGGUGACUAUACGUGGGCAAUCUGCCCUGCACUCUGGGACAAGCCCUGGAAACGGGGUCGAAUACCGGAUACUGACCUGCCAAGGCAUCUUGGCGGGUCGAAAGCUCCGGCGGUGCAGGAUGAGCCCGCGGCCUAUCAGCUUGUUGGUGAGGUAAUGGCUCACCAAGGCGACGACGGGUAGCCGGCCUGAGAGGGCGACCGGCCACACUGGGACUGAGACACGGCCCAGACUCCUACGGGAGGCAGCAGUGGGGAAUAUUGCACAAUGGGCGAAAGCCUGAUGCAGCGACGCCGCGUGAGGGAUGACGGCCUUCGGGUUGCAAACCUCUUUCAGCAGGGAAGAAGCGAAAGUGACGGUACCUGCAGAAGAAGCGCCGGCUAACUACGUGCCAGCAGCCGCGGUAAUACGUACGGCGCAAGCGUUGUCCGGAAUUAUUGUGCGUAAAGAGCUCCUAGGCGCUUUGUCGUGUCUAUUGAGAAAGAUCUCAUCCUACCCUUGGUUUCUCUAUCUUUACCUGGUAUGCGUAAUCGUU